rnacentral:rRNA from 1 species
GUUACUAGUAAUCGCGAAUCAGAAUGUCGCGGUGAAUACGUUCCCGGGCCUUGUACACACCGCCCGUCACACCAUGAGAGUUGGCAAUACCCAAAGUCCGUGAGGUAACCGAAAGGAGCCAGCGGCCUAAGGUAGGGUCAGCGAUUGGGGUGAAGUCGUAACAAGGUAGCCGUAGGAGAACCUGCGGCUGGAUCACCUCCUUUCUAAGGAA